ACUGGGAUAACUCCGGGAAACCGGAGCAUUUACCGGAUAGUUCCUUGAACCGCAUGGUUCAAGGAUGAAAGACGGUUUCGGCUGUCACUUACAGAUGGACCCGCGGGCCAUUAGCUAGUUGGUGAGGUAACGGCUCACCAAGGCGACGAUGCGUAGCCGACCUGAGAGGGCGAUCGGCCACACUGGGACUGAGACACGGCCCAGACUCCUACGGGAGGCAGCAGUAGGGAAUCUUCCGCAAUGGACGAAAGUCUGACGGAGCAACGCCGCGUGAGUGAUGAAGGGUUUCGGAUCGUAAAGCUCUGUUGUUAGGGAAGAACAAGUGCAAGAGUAACCGCUUGCACCUUGACGGUACCUAACCAGAAAGCCACGGCUAACUACGUGCCAGCAGCCGCGGUAAGCAUUAGGUGGCAAGCGUUGUCCGGAAUUAUUGGGCGUAAAGGGCUCGCAGGCGGUUUCUUAAGUCUGA
rnacentral:rRNA from 1 species